CGCCUCUUGAAUAAAUAUAAGAGGUCCAGCCUGCCCAGUGACUCUGUUCAACGGCCGCGGUAUCCUAACCGUGCGAAGGUAGCGUAAUCACUUGUUCUUUAAAUGAGGACUAGUAUGAAUGGCACCACGAAGGUUAUACUGUCUCCUCUUUCUAAUCAGUGAAACUAAUCUCCCCGUGAAGAAGCGAGGAUAAACAUAUAAGACGAGAAGACCCUAUGGAGCUUUAAACCAUGUAACACUUGCACCACUACAAUACAAAUUUCAGAAAAAUCCAUCCAAUUUAUGCAAGAUCAUUACCAGUUUUAGGUUGGGGUGACCGCGGAGCAAAAAACAACCUCCACAUUGAAAGGAACUAACUCCUUAGCCAAGAGCCACAUCUCCACGCACCAUUAUAAUGACAUCAAUUGACCCAAUAUUUUGAUCAACGAACCAAGUUACCCUAGGGAUAACAGCGCAAUCCAUUUCAAGAGCUCCUAUCGACAAAUGGGUUUACGACCUCGAUGUUGGAUCAGGGUAUCCCGGUGGUGCAGCCGCUACCAAAGGUUCGUUUGUUCAACGAUUAAAACCCUA
rnacentral:rRNA from 1 species